UACGUAGGGCGCAAGCGUUGUCCGGAAUUAUUGGGCGUAAAGAGCUCGUAGGCGGUCUGUCGCGUCUGCUGUGAAAACUCGGGGCUUAACCCCGGGCCUGCAGUGGGUACGGGCAGACUAGAGUGCGGUAGGGGAGACUGGAAUUCCGGGUGUAGCGGUGGAAUGCGUAGAGAUCCGGAAGAACACCAGUGGCGAAGGCGGUCUGCUGGGCAGUGGGAUCGAAAGGUCCCUUUAACCGACACUGAGGCGCGACAGCGUGGGGAGCAAACAGG
rnacentral:rRNA from 1 species